rnacentral:lncRNA from 1 species
UUAAUGAAUAAACAAAUAAAAAAAGUGCACAGACAUAUUCUUUAAUGAAUAAACAAAUAAAAAAAAGGUGUACAUGCACAUCGUUUAAUGAAUAAACAAAUAAAAGAAUGCAUUACAAAAUGCUAAUGUUGCAGGCUUCACCAACUUAUUGAACGGUUCAAUGCUCAUCUGUUCAUCAAUAUGCAAAGCACGUUCUGGAUUUUUCUUGUUCCCAAAAAGCAAGCGCAUGAAGCUUAAUGAUGAGGUCUAGUUCGUCUUCCCCAGAGCUAGCACGGUAACAUCAGGUUGUAGGUAGCUGAAACAUCUCAGCCUGCAGCGAAGCAAGCCUCCAGCAAGCUUCACCAUGCUGUCCAAUAUAGAGAUUCCAACCAAAAACGGAAACGGCAUAAUCUCCCAUGCUACGUCCACUAAAGGUCAACUUCAGAGGGCGCCCUCUUGCUCCUUUCCUUUGUCCCCUUCCCUAGAAAAAUCUCUCCUCUGUCCUCAACUCUCUAAGGCUCCUUUCCCAGUUGGCCGACCACCAGGAAAAUCGCAGCGAAAGCACCCCCCUGCUCAAAGUGUCCUCUCCAAGCUAAAAGAAAAAUACCCUUAGAAACCUGUCUCCUCUCGUCUCUAGCCUAAAC